UGGGGAAUUUUGGACAAUGGGCGCAAGCCUGAUCCAGCCAUGCCGCGUGCGGGAAGAAGGCCUUCGGGUUGUAAACCGCUUUUGUCAGGGAAGAAAUCUUCUGAGUUAAUACCUCGGGAGGAUGACGGUACCUGAAGAAUAAGCACCGGCUAACUACGUGCCAGCAGCCGCGGUAAUACGUAGGGUGCAAGCGUUAAUCGGAAUUACUGGGCGUAAAGCGUGCGCAGGCGGUUUUGUAAGACAGAGGUGAAAUCCCCGGGCUCAACCUGGGAACUGCCUUUGUGACUGCAAGGCUUGAGUGCGGCAGAGGGGGAUGGAAUUCCGCGUGUAGCAGUGAAAUGCGUAGAUAUGCGGAGGAACACCGAUGGCGAAGGCAAUCCCCUGGGCCUGCACUGACGCUCAUGCACGAAAGCGUGGGGAGCAAACAGGAUUAGAUACCCUGGUAGUCCACGCCCUAAACGAUGUCAACUGGUUGUUGGGGAAGGUUCCUUCUCAGUAACGUAGCUAACGCGUGAAGUUGACCGCCUGGGGAGUACGGCCGCAAGGUUG
rnacentral:rRNA from 1 species